GCCACGUGUAGCAAGGAGUUUAUAUAAAAAGGACCCAGUCUUCUUUCACAACACUUGAGGAUCGGAGCCAUCGUUGAACUUAACUUUACAACAGCUUUAAGACUGCGAAGUUUAUAAGGAUGGCCAGUUCAGUGACUGAUCUUGAUGAACUCCUUAAACAAUGGGCGUGGAAAAUGUACACACGGACGAAAAAUACUGUGAGUAUUGACAAUGCACAGCUUGAUGUUGUUUGGAAUAAGGUACGUUUCCAAUCCGCCCAGGCAAACUUCUCGAAGCAACAUGCAUCAAAUGUUCCUCAGUCUCAGAUCGUGUUCAGUUCAACAUUCGACAAUGAAACGACGCAAUAUCAACAGCACAACUUCCAGACUCAGCGGUCAACGAUUGCGACUGUCACAACGGCAAUGUCCAAAGGCUUCACACGUGGGGUCAAUGCAGGAAUCAAGCUUCCGGUCCCACCGGAAGUGCUCAGCUCUACAGCCGGGUUCGGCAACGAGGUCACCAUCGAAUGCGAGGAUGAAUAUUCGGUACAGAAGUCCCUCUCCUGGGCUGUCAACACGACUGUCAAUGCACCAAAGGAAAUGAGAACUGUUGCUGAACUUGAAAUACUUGAAAAUGAAUUCAAAUGCAACUUCAAGAUGAAUGUAUCCUUCCGAGGGACGGUUAGGGUGAAUAUCACCGAAUUACCCUCUGAAAAGGUGCUGAUUUUUCAAAACGACAUCGCCCAGAUUCUAGGUGAUAGUGGUUCCCUACUACCAGACUGCGUGGAGAUCACACCCAAGAAGGUGGUUUGGCCUGUCAUAGGGAAGGUUCAGUUCCGGUAUGGCGUCUCUCAAAAGGUCCGCGUGUAUCAGGAAGAUCUUGAGGACGAACCUGUUGAUGAUGGCAACUACGAUCAAUAUUAUAAUUGAAAGAACUUUUCCAUUCGUUGUCAGUUCAUGUUCAACUGUUGGUUUGUUAAUUAGAACAUGUGAACAUGUAACUGAUCUCUAUGUACCAUAAUGAACUGAUUGCUACAUGACUGUACAUGACUGAAAUUUUACAGACUCCCUCAACCGUCAUUAUUAACAAACUUGGUGUAUUGAUAAGUCUGUGUGUUUCUUUGAUCCGGAUUAAUAGGUAUAUCGAUAAGUCUGUGUGUCUAUUUGAACUGGAUUAAGGGCAAAUCGAUAAGUCUGUGUGUCUAUUUGAACUGGAUUAAGGGCAAAUCGAUAAGUCUGUGUGUCUAUUUGAACUGGAUUAAGGGCAAAUCGAUAAGUCUGUGUGUCUAUUUGAACCGGAAUAACCUAUCCUAUGUACUGACGUUUAUAGAAAGGUUCGGCAAAGAAGUCCACAUUGAAUUGGAACGGAGACUUUCGUGAGACAGUUCGUCUAUGGCAAAAAAUGCUUUCAAGAAGAAGAGUGUCCUUGGAUGAUCUAUGCCCGUAUUUUGCAUAUUGUGAUAUUACAAACGUUUUUAUAAACGCUCAUGUAUAUGUGAAAUAUUCCAGAACAAUAAUCAAAUGAUUAUUUCAAAGCGUGCAAUUGAAUGUGCAUAUUUUGUUAGAUUGGGAAUACUAUACCUUCAGAUAACAUAUAGAGCUAGCUGCAAGAAUAUAAUUUUGUUUUAUAUUGUUAAACGAAUUUAGGGUUAGCCACACAAAGAUUAAAGUGUAAACGUUUACACAUCAGUUUAUGUUGUCUGAAUAAAUUCGUCGAGAGAAGUC
rnacentral:misc_RNA from 1 species